rnacentral:rRNA from 1 species
CCUACGGGGGGCAGCAGUGAGGAAUAUUGGUCAAUGGGCGGAAGCCUGAACCAGCCAAGUAGCGUGCAGGAUGACGGCCCUACGGGUUGUAAACUGCUUUUAUACGGUAAUAACGCGCCUUACGUGUAGGGCUUUGCAUGUACCGUAUGAAUAAGGACCGGCUCAUUCCGUGCCAUCAGCCGCGGUAAUACGGAAGGUCCGGGCGUUAUCGGGAUUUAUUGGGUUUAAAGUGAGCGUAGGCCGCAUGUCAAGCGUGCUGUGAAAUGUCCGGGCUCAACCCGGGCCGUGCAGCGCGAACUGGCGUGCUUGAGUCCGCGGAAAGCAGGCGGAAUUCGUGGUGUAGCGGUGAAAUGCUUAGAUAUGACGAAGAACCCCGAUUGCGAAGGCAGCUUGCUGCAGCGGAACUGACGCUGAUGCUCGAAAGCGCGGGUAUCGAACAGGAUUAGAUACCCUGGUAGUC